CAGGCAUUACUGGACUCAUUGCUCCAGAAGUGUUCCCUUGAAAAGAAGCUCGUGGAGGAGCAAUAACACGUUCAAUGAAGAAAAUACCUUCCCGGACAUUCAUUCAUCCAUGAGAUGGUGCUGUCCCUCCUCAGGGGGCCCUUGGCCUCCAGUUUCCUGGAGCUUGAGGUGGUCCUUGUCAAGAACAACUCUUGGUGAUUCUGCUGGGAUGUCAUUCAGAGCUGCAAAGGGACUGCCUUCUGAGAUCAGCUUGCUGACUACAAAAAAACCCCCAGAAAACAAAAGCAACCCUUGAAGAUUCUUAUUACCUUGAUUCUUGGUUUUCCCUUUGAGUUGAAGAUGGCAAAUUCUUUUCCUAAGCCUUGCAGUGGACUGCUGUUAUGAAGG